AUAUUUUUAUCCUCUGAAUAUUUUUUGAUAACUUUUGUUUCACUUUAGGUGAAUUGCAGAAAGCCAUUGACUUAUUCACAGAUGCCAUCAAGCUGAAUCCUCGCUUGGCCAUUUUGUAUGCCAAGAGGGCCAGUGUCUUCGUCAAAUUACAGAAGCCAAAUGCUGCCAUCCGAGACUGUGACAGAGCCAU